rnacentral:rRNA from 1 species
GAGUUUGAUCCUGGCUCAGAUUGAACGCUGGCGGAAUGCUUUACACAUGCAAGUCGAACGGCAGCACGGGAGCUUGCUCCUGGUGGCGAGUGGCGAACGGGUGAGUAAUGCGUCGGAACGUACCGAGUAAUGGGGGAUAACGCAGCGAAAGCUGUGCUAAUACCGCAUACGCCCUGAGGGGGAAAGUGGGGGAUCGCAAGACCUCACGUUAUACGAGCGGCCGACGUCUGAUUAGCUAGUUGGUGGGGUAAUGGCCUACCAAGGCGACGAUCAGUAGCGGGUCUGAGAGGAUGAUCCGCCACACUGGAACUGAGACACGGUCCAGACUCCUACGGGAGGCAGCAGUGGGGAAUUUUGGACAAUGGGGGCAACCCUGAUCCAGCCAUUCCGCGUGAGUGAAGAAGGCCUUCGGGUUGUAAAGCUCUUUCAGCGGGAACGAAACGGUGCACUCUAACAUAGCGUAUUAAUGACGGUACCCGCAGAAGAAGCACCGGCUAACUACGUGCCAGCAGCCGCGGUAAUACGUAGGGUGCGAGCGUUAAUCGGAAUUACUGGGCGUAAAGCGUGCGCAGGCGGCUUUUUAAGCCAGACGUGAAAUCCCCGGGCUUAACCUGGGAAUGGCGUUUGGAACUGGAAGGCUAGAGUGUGUCAGAGGGGGGUAGAAUUCCACGUGUAGCAGUGAAAUGCGUAGAGAUGUGGAGGAAUACCGAUGGCGAAGGCAGCCCCCUGGGAUAACACUGACGCUCAUGUACGAAAGCGUGGGUAGCAAACAGGAUUAGAUACCCUGGUAGUCG